rnacentral:lncRNA from 1 species
UUAUAAAUCACUAGUGGAGCCGGAACCAGUUAGUUUAUAUUUGUCAUGAAGCCCUGUUUAUUUUCCUGUACUACUUAAAUUACUUACUGUUAUAUUGUGUGAAUUUAAAUUGAUAAUUUUUAUGGUCUUCUCGAUUAUUUGGUUUAUUUGGUUCCUCUUGUUUUGUUUAUUUAGUUAUCUGCUUACUUGGUUAUUCGGUUAUGU